rnacentral:lncRNA from 1 species
CUGGGUGCUGUCGCCGCUGUCCGGCCGAGGCUCGCAUCACCUCGCGCUGUCCUGAAAGGCUUGGGGAGCUUCCGCCACAUCCUCUGUCGCCGUGAGCUCCGCCGGCCGCGGCAAUCGCAUGGUGGUCGACCCGGUACCCCAGAAAGCGGGCAAUGGCCUCCGGGACGCUCGUGGCUGGUGCUGGGACUGGAACAAGCCUCCAGUUCUUCACUGUGUUUUACUCAUCAAAACCUCGUGCAGACUCGAGCCCGCGCGUCAUGGAGUGCUGAGUUAAAUGGGAAAAAAUGGGAAGAUCAUGACACUGAAGAUGGGUACUAUACGCAGGGGAGAAAACUAAGGUGAGUCACACAGUAUAGCAGU